GUUUAAUCAUGCUGCAUUACGAUGCUGGCAAAAGACUGCUAAGAAGAGUCUGAGAAGGGAGCAAGUGCUGGCAAAGAGAAGAAUGUGAGAAUUGACCCAGACUUCCCACGUGGCAGCAGUGGGCAUAAGCAAUCAAAUAUUAAGAAGCUAAUGGUGAAGGCUUCUCCAUUUCUCCUUUGGAAAACGUAGCCCAGUUGAACAAUUUAAUGCUAAUGGGAAAAAGGCCUCAAAGCAGACUCUCAUACCUCUCAGAAACUGGUAAAGGUUUCUGUCGAGGUCCAGACUGUCCUACUUUGGUCCUCUCACUGAGAUUUUCUUCCUGUGAAAACCAAGUUUAGCAGAGGAAGGGAUGUAGCCAUUGCUGACACCUGCUGCCUGGUAUGCUGUUGCAUCUUGGACACAGACCUGUCUUCGGAUGAUGCAGCUGUGGUCAUUUUUUUCCUAUUUGGAAAUUUUGAUUUUUUUUCUAUGAAUCAUUUUUAUAUGAAUGGAGAAGAGCAUCGCGAACACCAAACUGUAUUCAGUAAGUUAUCAUU
rnacentral:lncRNA from 1 species